UCGGGCGGGAGACCUGGAAUCCAGUGCGGUUCUGUGGAAAGAUCCAGGCGCCGGCCUGCCCUCUAUGCACGGGCCAUCUGCAGCCUCCGAUGGAGACCCCACGCCGGCGCAGACCAACCAGCAGAAGGGGAAUCCUGUCUACAAGCUUUUUACAGAUGAAAAAUAAAACUGAGCGUCCAAGAGGU